UUAACACAUGCAAGUCGAACGCCCCGCAAGGGGAGUGGCAGACGGGUGAGUAACGCGUGGGAACAUACCCUUUCCUGCGGAAUAGCUCCGGGAAACUGGAAUUAAUACCGCAUACGCCCUACGGGGGAAAGAUUUAUCGGGGAAGGAUUGGCCCGCGUUGGAUUAGCUAGUUGGUGGGGUAAAGGCCUACCAAGGCGACGAUCCAUAGCUGGUCUGAGAGGAUGAUCAGCCACAUUGGGACUGAGACACGGCCCAAACUCCUACGGGAGGCAGCAGUGGGGAAUAUUGGACAAUGGGCGCAAGCCUGAUCCAGCCAUGCCGCGUGAGUGAUGAAGGCCUUAGGGUUGUAAAGCUCUUUCACCGGAGAAGAUAAUGACGGUAUCCGGAGAAGAAGCCCCGGCUAACUUCGUGCCAGCAGCCGCGGUAAUACGAAGGGGGCUAGCGUUGUUCGGAAUUACUGGGCGUAAAGCGCACGUAGGCGGAUAUUUAAGUCAGGGGUGAAAUCCCAGAGCUCAACUCUGGAACUGCCUUUGAUACUGGGUAUCUUGAGUAUGGAAGAGGUAAGUGGAAUUCCGAGUGUAGAGGUGAAAUUCGUAGAUAUUCGGAGGAACACCAGUGGCGAAGGCGGCUUACUGGUCCAUUACUGACGCUGAGGUGCGAAAGCGUGGGGAGCAAACAGG
rnacentral:rRNA from 1 species